GAUGAACGCUGGCGGCGUGCCUAAUACAUGCAAGUCGAGCGAACGGACGAGAAUCUUGCUUCUCUGAUGUUAGCGGCGGACGGGUGAGUAACACGUGGAUAACCUACCUAUAAGACUGGGAUAACUUCGGGAAACCGUAGCUAAUACCGGAUAAUAUUUUGAACCGCAUGGUUCAAAAGUGAAAGACGUUCUUGCUGUCACUUAUAGAUGGAUCCGCGCUGCAUUAGCUAGUUGGUAAGGUAACGGCUUACCAAGGCAACGAUGCAUAGCCGACCUGAGAGGGUGAUCGGCCACACUGGAACUGAGACACGGUCCAGACUCCUACGGGAGGCAGCAGUAGGGAAUCUUCCGCAAUGGGCGAAAGCCUGACGGAGCAACGCCGCGUGAGUGAUGAAGGGCUGCGGAUCGUAAAACUCUGUUAUUAGGGAAGAACAUAUGUGUAAGUAACUGUGCACAUCUUGACGGUACCUAAUCAGAAAGCCACGGCUAACUACGUG
rnacentral:rRNA from 1 species